GCCUGUCUGGCUCAGUCGGUGGAGCAUAUGACUCUUGAUCUUGGGGUUGUGAGUUGAAGCCCCACGUUGGGUG
rnacentral:tRNA from 1 species